GCUCAGUGACGGCUUCGUUUAGUUUCUCCCAGCACCCAUAAUUCAAAGCAAGAACAACGACAUUAUGGGGAGAAGACGUCCUUUUGUGAAACAGAAGGCAAGUCUUGCUCUGUCACCCAGGCUGGAGUACAGUGGUGUGAUCUCGGCUCACUGCAACCUUUGCCUCCUGGAUUCAAGCGAUUCUCCUGCCUCAGUCUCCCAAGUAGCUGGGACUACAAGCUAGAGUGCAAUGGUGUGACCACAGCUCACUGAAGCCUCAACCUCCUGAGCUCACUUAAGCAAUCCUCUCACUUCGGCCUCCUGAGUAGCUGGGCCUACAGGCAUGUACCAACACUCCCAGCAAGUUUUUCUUAUUUUUUGUGAAGACAGAGUCUUGCAGUAUUGCCCAAGCUGGACUUGAACUCCUGGACUCAAGCAAUCCUCCCAUCUAGGCCUCCCAAAGUGCUAGGAUUACAGGCAUGAGCCACUGUGCCAAGCAACACUUGCAGUUUUUAAGUGAAAAUGAUCCUGUAAAUAUAUAUAUGAAUAAAAUCUAGAAAGCUAUAUAAAUCAAAAUGUUAAAUAGUGGUUAUUUCUGU